rnacentral:rRNA from 1 species
AUACGUAGGGGGCUAGCGUUAUCCGGAUUUACUGGGCGUAAAGGGUGCGUAGGUGGUCUUUCAAGUCAGAAGUUAAAAGCUACGGCUUAACCGUAGUCAGCUUUUGAAACUGGAGGACUUGAGUGCAGGAGAGGAGAGUAGAAUUCCUAGUGUAGCGGUGAAAUGCGUAGAUAUUAGGAGGAAUACCAGUAGCGAAGGCGGCUCUCUGGACUGUAACUGACACUGAGGCACGAAAGCGUGGGGAGCAAACAGGAUUAGAUACCCUGGUAGUCCACGCCGUAAACGAUGAGUACUAGGUGUCGGGGGUUACCCCCCUCGGUGCCGCAGCUAACGCAUUAAGUACUCCGCCUGGGGAGUACGCUCACAAGAGUGAA